rfam:Gasterosteus aculeatus cont1.011295, whole genome shotgun sequence.
GUGGGCUACGGGGACAUGUACCCGGAGACGGUCGGGGGGAAGCUGGUGGGCUCCAUGUGCGCCAUCGCCGGCGUGCUCACCAUCUCGCUGCCGGUGCCCGUCAUCGUGUCCAAC